rnacentral:rRNA from 1 species
AACGAACGCUGGCGGCAGGCUUAACACAUGCAAGUCGAACGCUCGUAGCAAUACGGGAGUGGCGGACGGGUGAGUAACGCGUGGGAACGUGCCCUGAGGUACGGAAUAACUGAGGGAAACUUCAGCUAAUACCGUAUGAGCCCCGAGAGGGGGAAAGAUUUAUCGCCUUGGGAGCGGCCCGCGUCGGAUUAGCUAGUUGGUGGGGUAACGGCCUACCAAGGCUUCGAUCCGUAGCUGGUCUGAGAGGACGAUCAGCCACACUGGUACUGAGACACGGACCAGACUCCUACGGGAGGCAGCAGUGAGGAAUAUUGGACAAUGGGCGCAAGCCUGAUCCAGCCAUGCCGCGUGAGUGAAGAAGGCCUUC